rnacentral:rRNA from 1 species
ACGGAGGGUGCUAGCGUUGUUCGGAAUUACUGGGCGUAGAGGGCGCGUAGGCGGCUACGGCAGUCGGGUGUGAAAGCCCGGGGCUCAACCCCGGAACGGCAUCCGAUACUCUGUGGCUAGAGACCGGAAGAGGUGGGUGGAAUACCCAGUGUAGAGGUGAAAUUCGUAGAUAUUGGGUGGAACACCGGUGGCGAAAGCGGCUCACUGGUCCGGUUCUGACGCUGAGGCGCGAAAGCUAGGGUAGCAAACGGGA